CACUAGUGUAACACAACACCUCUCUGUGGCCUUUGCAGAGGCACAGAAGAAAGACACACCCACUGCUCACUCAGCCCCCACCUUUCCUCAUCUCAGACUUGCUCUCACAGACUCAGGCUAUUAAAGACACACACUCUCACACAGAAACAAAUACAAUUAAACAAAAUAAAACUGUACUUCACCUAAAGUACCAUGCUAAUUAAAACAACACAACCACUACACUUCCUCGACGUGGUUAUACAACUAAAACAACGGACCCACUACACUUCCUCAACGUGGAUCUUAAUUAAAACAAUAAAAUAUACCACUUUAAGGUGGUAUACCGUCAAUUUUGAUACACUUACAACCACACAAAAUUGACCUCUGUGACUUGCACUUCCGACCACAGGCACAGACUUCUAUUGUCAUUCACCAGACAAUAGGCCUCUAUUGUCAUUCACCUCCCCAACAGAAAAUAGACAUCCAUUGUCCCCAAGAGACAAUAGACCUCUAUCAUCAUUCACUUCCUCAACAGACAAUAGACAUGCAGAUCCACUUCCUGUCCAACACUGCAUAAAAUCUUACGCGUUUUCUUCACUUAAAAUAAAAAAAUUCGCUUCGAUUUACUUCGAUCAUCAAAGCCAUUUCAAAAAAUAAAAAUAAUCAUCUGUUCUACUACUACCAAGUCCUGUUAGUAACAAAACAGAUGAGUGCAUGCACAUGUUUCCUCUGAAAAUGAAACCCUUUAUUUUUAUAAUUUAGUCUAAUAAUCAUUAAUUUCUUCUUUUUAUUCUUAAAUUUGGAAGAGCAAUUGUGAUUAAUCUUACCACCACGAGCAAUCUCAGGUGAACAAUACAAUCUUUGAAUAAGCAAAACGCUUACCUCUUUUAGGUGGCCACCUGAUUGUAUUGCCCAUCGAGAAGCCAGCUGUGGUCUCUGGUUCUGUGCUCUUUUCAUGUCCCAUCUGGGUCGCCAUUUGUUGUGCUCUUUUCCAAUCCCAUCCUCGUCGCCAUUUGUUGUGGUUUUCCCUUUUGGGUUCUUUAAGAAUAAAAUACUCAAGCAGUAGGUUUCAUUUUCAAAAGAUAGACUUUUAUUAACCAGGCAAAUAAAAGCCGAGCAGUCCUGCACAAUCUCCAAGACUCACUCAAAAACGUUCCCCUGUGCUAGAGCAUUUAAAGUCUUGCUCGCACGCUAUCCUAUUCCCAAGGGUUUAACAUAUGGUUCAUAUCAUAUAGAGAACAUAUGGCAUCACUUUUCUAGGACUGUGGGUCCUUUGUUCUUACCCUCUGGUAAUUUUCUACACACACACACACUGGUACACUAUGUGAUGCCUAUAACUGAACUUCAUAUAGAAAAACAUAAAAACAUAAUGGUUAAGUAACUGGUUAUAUCCAUAUAGAAAAAACAUAUAAACAUUAUAGAAAAAACAUAUAAACAUAAUGGUAAAGUAUUUGAUACACAUAUCCGGAUUAAAACAAAUCACUUCAAUGGUAACACGAGCACCUCCGCACUAUUGGUUAUUAAUGAUGAUCUAAUGGUCCCUAUUAACACCCUUAGCACCAAUAUGGACAAGAGGUUUAACGAUAUCUCAGCCUCACUCUCCACACUAAAAAACGCAGUUGAUGAAGUUGUCGUGCGAGUAGAUGGAAUAGAACAAGCAUCGAAUGCGCACAAACAGCGUAUCGAAGCCUUGGAGUCAAUGUGCUCAAAGUUGACUACAUAAUCGUCACAAAUGUAUGCAAAACUGGACGACUUGGAAUCUUGAUCUCAUCGCCAAAACAUCCGGAUAGUGGGUAUAAAAGAAAAAGAGGAGCAAGGACAACCUACCAAGUUUGUAGAAAUACUACUUUCGAGGCUAUUGGGAGAGGAAUAUUUUCAAACUCCGGUACAAGUGGAUCGGGCACACCGUAGCCUAAAACCGGCGACGAACCACCAUUAUCAGACCAAUGAGCUCGUUUUGCGUUUGGCCAGACAGAAUCAACCACUGAUGUAUAUGGGAGCACAGGUAUCAAUAUACCCAGACCUGACAACGGAUACCUUAAAAAAAUGGCAGGUUUUCAACAACAUCAGAGGGAAAUGUAGAGCUAUGAAGAUACGGUGUGGAUUUUGUUUCCCGGCAAGAAUCUUGUAACAGCAGAUUUCUGAGCGACAAGGUGGAGAACUGGUCCAGUGGUGGCCAAGAACUUUAAAGUUUGAAUAAUUGAUGUGUUAUCUCGACUGGAGAUGAGUGACAAAUUAAACUCUUACAUAUUAUCAGACUGACUUAUAUAUAUAUAUUUUUCCCUAUGUGAUAUUAAUAAUUCAAAGGGAGGUUAGAUGGAGUAUAGUCAAUAUUUGUUUUAUAUAUAUAUAUAUAUAUUUUUUUUUUCCUAUGUGAUAUUAAUAAUGCAAAGGGAGGUUAGAUGGAGUAUAGUCAAUAUUUGUUUUUUAGGGCCCGAGCACACCAGGAUGUGAGGACCCUGUUGUUCUUCAAGGAGUUAUUAGGGCACCGAAAGGUGCGAAGCCCUAUUGUUUUUGCUCUGAUUAUUAUUUGUUUUCUUUUUCUAACACUUUUGGGCACUUUGGGUGCCUUAACAUACUCGAAAACUCUUCGUCGUCGGCCAUCAGGUCCAGGCAAAGGCAUGGGGUUCUGUAGCGCCCCCUGUAAUGCAAAAACAAACAUUGGGGCACAGAACGGGCAAAAAUGUUAGCACAUGUACGAAAGUUGGUACGCAUAUAGAUCUCAUUGACCCAAACAACUGUUGCACUCUAACCUUUUAGCUCCGCCCAACAGGAAGUCGUCCAUUUUGGAUUGUUUAAAAAAUACAUGCUGUGAACUUUUAAAUACUCCUCCUAGGGGAUUCAUGCGAAUGACACCAAACGUGGUGAUCAUGAUGUUGCGACAUUGGACUUGCUAAAUUGCGAAGGGAUUUUUGAUAUCUUGAACUGUUCUGCCAUGGCGAAGUGACAAAGUCAUGGCGAAAUCAGAGAAACAGGAAGUGUCUAAUACCUAAGGCAAAAAAAUGUCUUAUUGUGAAGAAACGUGGGGUGUUUGUUCGGUUAAAGAUUCCGAUCGCAUUGAUGUGCCUAUUGUGACUCCCGGGUAUAGCGCCACCACCAGGCGCCAGGAAGUGUGUCCGUCACAAAUGUGGAUUUUUUGUGACAGUUGCAUGCGAUGUUCUUUUAAAUACUCCUCCUAGAAUAGUCAUGCGAUUGACACCAAAAGUGGUCAACAUAAUGUUGAGACACUGCAGAUGAUAAAUUGCGAAGGGAUUUUUGAUAUCUCGAACGUUGUUCCCAUGGCAACGCGUCAAACUUUACUUCCAUUUUAAAGGCAUAUUUAAGCCUUUCAGUUGCAUGCUGUGAACUUUUAAAUACUCCUUCUAGAAUAUUCAUGCGAUUGACACCAGAAGUGGACAACAUGAUGUCGAGACAUUGGAGGUGAUACAUUGUGAAGGGAUUUUUGACAUCUCGAACACUGUUGCCAUGGCCACGUGUCAAACUUUACUUUUAUUUCAGGCAAAUUUAGCACGUUGUACUUUUAGUUAUUGAAAUAAGUUCUCAGGGCAGCAUUGAAUCCUAUUGGUUCUCUCAGUCGUCCAAUUAGCGAGUGCAGGAGGCGGGACAUGGAUAAUUUGAAAUUUUCGCUCAGGAAGAGCAACCUGGAAAGUGGAGACAUCACGCUAGGAGAUCGUUGCAGUUAAGGUAAUGUUGUGUUUUAUGUUGAACUAUAUUAGUUUAUUACAUUAAAAUGUCAAGAUAAUGAGAAUUUAGAUUAUUUUUCCAACCGACGGUUCGGCUCGCAUGCGUUUCGCGGAUUAAUACGCAAAUUAAAAUAGGGAAAGUUUAUCAUUUGCACGUGUUUCAAAGGCUUGCAAAUGUUAACAUUCAAGUGAUUUCAAACAAUUUAAACGCAAAAAGGCGCUAAAGUGAGCAGUUUUCUGCACGCACAGACGCACGUGCGACUGAAUCUGUCCGGUCCAGCUCCAGUCAGACCCCUAUUCCCUUCAAAGAUAACUCUUUGAUGUUUAAACCUUAGAGAAAGUUGCGCUGCUAUGUCUCAUACUGUAGUCGAUUAAAAUACAUUUGGUAAAUAGAGCACUGAAAAACAGCGUAUCGUUUGUAUGUGAAGCGACUGUUUACGCUGCGCUGUUUACAAUUCGCCCUCGGUCUCUGUGUGCGCCAGUUUGAGUGCACUUAAAAGUCCAUACACGUUUCAAAAGCAAGCAGCGAACUUCUUUACAAGGGCACAUACAAACAAAAUGAUCUCCACAGUAUUCUUUUUCUAAUAAAAACAUUUGUUUAUGUCUUAAGUUUAUGCAUAGAUUAGGCAGAAACCAAUCCGUGCUCAUCAUAAAGGGGCAGUAACCUCAAUUAACUUACUUAAGUCUGUGUCAUUAAUGUUAAUCAAACAGCCCAAGACAAAGAGAAAAUCACUUAAUAAUAUUUAUUUCAUACAGUAAAGAUUUCAGUACCUAAUGCUAACUGUAGACCUUACUUAAUGUGCAACUUUGUUCUUUUUUAAAUGUUUGUAAUUUCUUUAUUAUUUGUUAUAUUUUUCCAACCCAUUUUUUUGCUGAACCGAAAAAUUAUCCAAUCCGUGCCUUAAAAACCGUAAUGUGAUCCGAACCGUGAGUUUUGUGAUCCAUCACACCCCUAUUACAUACAACAAAAUGCUUGGCUGCUCUAAGGACAUUUUUGCUGUAUAAAUUCUAAUACUGCUCUCAGGGCACCUUACUGUAUCUCCAUGCAACAUUCAUUUGCUGCUCUUAGUUCGUUUUGUUGCAGAUAUUCUAAUGCUGCUCUGAGGGCACCAUUUGACAUUAGAUCUACAAUUGGCUGCUCUUAGGACAUUUUUGCUGUAUAAAUUCUAAUACUGCUCUCAGGGAACCUUACUGUAUCUCCAUGCAACAUUCAUUUGCUGCUCUUAGUGCGUGUUUUUUGUUGCAGAUAUUCUAAUGCUGCUCUGAGGGCACCAUUCGACAUUAGAUCUACAAUUGGCUGCUCUUAGGACAUUUUUGCUGUAUAAAUUCUAAUACUGCUCUCAGGGCACCUUACUGUAUCUCAGGGCACUUUACUGCUUUGCGUCCUUACUCACUCGCAUUCUAAUACUCUCUUAGUGGCACACUUUCUUAUACUACUGCAUCCCUACACUGCGUAGUACUGAUAUUAGCAAACUUUUCUUCUAAUCUGGUAACAUUCAGGUAUGCUGUGUCUGUUUCUGAAAUGUUUCGUAAAAUGAAUGUUUUCUUAAAGCUGUAUUGUUUAUAUCAACUGCAGAUUAUGGAGCAGCUAUGGAUCAAGGGCAUCCGAAGAAAACUGAGAAUAGAAAAAGAUUCCGUGUUUCCACGGAUAUAAAAAUUGUUCAUGGGGACAAGAAAAUGUUUAUGGAGAAUUAUAUAGAAGAACUACAGAAGAAAACAAAGACCUUUUUCCUGGUGGAAAAACAGAACAAAAAUUAUUAUUUCCAUGCCUGUGAAAGAGGCAACAAACCAACAGGUAAAUGCAUGGGCAAGGCAUGUGAAACAAGGGCCAAUUCCUGUGAAGCCUAUGUGUCGUUGAAAUUUAUAGAGGUUUUACAGCAGUAGUAGUUCGGGAGCAGUUAAUACACACGGGACAUGAUUUGUCCAACCCUGAAGAGAGGAAGAAAAAUGCAAUUACUCCAGAAUUGUUAGGAUUUGUCGAGAUGUGGCUCACGCAAGACCAGCCACUGGUUAUUGUUGUCCAGACACCACAACAGAAGGCUCUACUCCAAGAGAACCCCCACCCCAUGGUUUUUAUGGAUGCCUCCUACAAAGGUUUGACAUCAUAUGGGUAUGCCCUGUAUGCCCUUGUACUUCUGAAUCAAACUGGAAGAGGAGUCCCAUUUGCAUACCUAAUAAUGAGCCAGGAAUCCUCAGCAAUACUUGAGCUUUGCUUGAAUAUGCUUUGUUCAAGCAAUCCAAACUUUUACCCAAGGUGAGAACAGUUCUUUUAAAAAGCCCAAUACCCAUACAAGCAAAAAGGAGUUCUAAUACUGAGAAAUAAUUGAAUACAUUUUGGCCAUAAGAGAAGUUUUCCCCAAAACCAAAGUUCUCCUCUGUUGGUUGCAUGUUCUCCGGGUACUGAUUUCAUUUAAGAAACGUACAAGUAGGUACUUUGAACAUUCUGUUUGGUUGUAAAUAGAUUUACAAUUUUUAUAUCAUAUGCCUGCUGUAGCUUUUGAAAAAACAAUGUAGCCUCAUUUACAGUGCCAUAUAUUGUGUAUUAAAGGCUGUACAUCGCUGGGUUACAUCAAGAGAUGGUGGGAACCUGUCACCUGACAAAAGACACGUCGCCAUUCAUGCCAUGACCUCAAUGAAAGCUUGCAUAACGGAGAUCAACCUCUGACUCCUCCUUCGGUACUUCCUCCUCCCAGCAGUGGCAUCUGAUAAGGUCAUCACUGACAGUCUGUAUUUAACUGAUGAUAGAAAUGUGGCAAUUUUUCCAAAUGCUGAAGGGUCUUUCAGUUCAUUGGAUUUGACCUUUAGGGCCCACUAUGAGGUCCAUGGGGAUUCUUUGGAGACCUCUACAAACAGCCCAGCAACCUCUGCAUUUGCCUCAGUGCCAGGUCAGCGACGCUUCUCUUUCACAAGGCCAGCACAAUCUGCAUCUGCAACAACAGCCCAUGCAUGCCGAACCUGGACAAGAGCAAUAAAUGUUGCAGAGGUGCAAGAUCGGAAACCUGUCCCAAAAAGUGUUGUUAUGGUGCGGUUUUCGGAGUCUGAGGCCGACGUCCCAGGCAUUGUUCAGAAGCUUCAAGUGGACUUAAGGGCUACAGAACCUCCUGUUUUGCUGGAUGCUAAUUGGAACUAAAUAAUGGAUUCUGAGGGGACACGUGGUUCUCCAUAUUGGAGACAAAACUCCAGAAAAAUUAAUGCAAUGCCAUUAGUCAGUUUGCCAAGCUUCAUCAUCGCCAAAAAAAGGAUGAGGGAAGAAGAUUCUGGAUUAAGGGAUAUUUUGGAUAAGAUUGAGGAGGUUUUGGAGGCAUCGCAUGGUCUAGACUCUAGAGGGUGUUGCUGCUACACUUCGAGAGCUCACCACACUGGCCACAAGAGACAGAAACCAAGUCAACACACAGCAGGCAUUGCAUCUCAAACAGGCUUUUACCUGCCUUGUUUGUAGAGACGUCAUCAGUGAACCUGUGCUGUCUGAGUGUUGCCGGAGCCUUGUUGGCUGUAGAGGUUGCAUAGAACAGUGGGCAUCAACUUCAAACCAGUGCGUGAAGUACAGGUCUGAGUUCUCUAUGAACAACAUCAUCAGGGUAGCUGGUCUGUCAGCUGUUUUAGAUGUUGUGAAAGAGCUUGAAAGUAGAAGUGUAUAAUGCUUUAGUCUUUUUUCUCGAGUUGGUGAAAUUUAACUGGUUACAGGUUGUCAAAUUAUACACAGAAAAAUUGUUCCCUAGAAAUGUUUGUUUAACAUGUGUUAUGUAGUUUUGUUUCACAGUAAGACUGUGUUCAUGUUAAGUAUUUCAAGGUUGCAGGAUGCACACACGCAUUCCAAGGCAAACAACAAGACAAGUUUUGAUUAAGCUGUUUUAUUUGCCUGUCCUCAGUUAAAAAUGAAAAUUGUAUUUAACCAUUUAAUAACUGUGAAAAUAAAAAAAUUACAAAAGUUUA